GCUGAAAUAGCUCAGUUGGGAGAGCGUUACACUGAAGAUCUAAAUGGUUUUGGUUCAAUCCCAGGUUUCAGCC